AUAUCUCUUUAGCCAGAGAAUUGUUAUUUGAGCGCCAUUUAUUUCUUCUCACAUAAGCUUUCUUCCAAACCGCGUGUUUGUAUUCUCAAUUAUCAAUUAGGAAAUCCCAAUCUGUUUUCAAUCAUUCUCCAAAAUUAUGAAUUUGUUUCCUUUAUCGAUUAUAAACCCUAGAUGUAUAAGCAGAUUCUUCAAUCGUGAAUAACAUAGCGUCUUCAUCUGUUACUUUUUGAUUGUGUAAAACCCUCGAAAACCUGUGAACUCUUCAGAUCUUGAAUCCCAUUAUCAUCGAUUAGUCUCAACCAGAUUUCUUUUGUGAUUCCUUUGUUCUUCAUCUAUUUUUUCUAUGAAUCUGUUACAAACCCUAAGUUUUUUUGUAUGAAUUUUGGUACAGAAUAUGAUGCGUACAAUUGAGGGAUUCAAGCGCUGCAAAGCAGGAUAUAAAUUUAUUUAAUGUUUUCCACUUUAUCUAGAGCAUACAAUUGGGGGAUUUAAGCACAACAAAGCAGGAGUUGAAUAUAUGUAAGUUUUUAGGGCUUUGAUUUUUGUUAUUGCGGUGCAGGUACGUUUCAUCGUCAGUUUUUCAAAUGGGUUACGUGUCUAAUUUUCGAAGGUUAAACGAGAAUUGAGUCAGUUAGAAACCCUAGAUUGAUAACCAGAUUCUUCACACUGCUUCUCAAAACCCUUAUUUUGAUUCAACGUCGUUGUCCUCUCCAACAAUCCCUUCAAUAGCGACUACAUGAGAGGAUCUCUGAUUCCAGUCUAAUCUUCCAGGUGAUAAUAGGCUUUUGUUUCAACAGAAUCCGUCAUAUCUUCUAAUCAUUUGUGUACUUUAAUCAGUUAAUCUGAUGUUCUGUGUAUAUGUUUGCUUUGAUUUAUGUAUAUUCAUGUUAUUAUUUAGAUCUUCGACUCAAAUUGUUGUGUUUUUGUAAUUAUCAUAAGCCCUAAUUAUUUAGGGAAAUAGUGUUAUUCAUUUCAAAAAUUAUAUCAACUACAGCUGGAGGCAAUAGACAACAUAAGUACGAUUGGUGAAUGAGUUGCCAGAGUUAUCCGAGGCAGACAUGAUUGUCUUUUUAGGCAAAAUAUAGUGAUUUGCAAUAUAUAGUGAUUUGCAAUAGACAAAAUAGGUACGAUCGGUGAAUGAGUUGCCAGAGUUAUCUGAGGCAGACAUGAUUGUCUUUUUAGGCAAAAUAUAGUGAUUUGUAAUAUAUAGUGAUUUGCAAUAGACAAAAUAAGUACGAUCGGUGAAUGAGUUGCCAAAGUUAUCCGAGGCAGACAUGAUUGUCUUUUUAGGCGACUUCAAUUAUCGGCUUGAUGGCAUUUCUUAUGAUGAAGCACGGGAUUUUAUAUUUCAAAGAAGUUUCGAUUGGCUUAGAGAGAAAGAUGAGCUUCAUAUCGAAAUAAAAGCUGGAACUGUAUUUCAAGGAAUGCGUGAAGUCGUUAUUACGUUCCCACCCACUUACAAGUUUGAACGACAUCAACCUGGUUUAGCAGGGUACGAUUCUGGAGAGAAAAAGCGGAUUCCUGCAUGGUGUGACCGAGUCUUGUAUCGUGACAACCGUCCAGAUUCAUCAGGAUGGUGCUGAAAUGGUAGAAAAAUGGUGGUUCUAUAAUUCAGAAGCUUCUUACAGAGAAGAGAGAUGUUACACGACUUUUGAUAGUUUGAAAGUUAAAGCAAACAACUGGACGCAAAAAAACACUUGGUUAAUAGCAAAAAGAUAUUGCCUAUAGCAUUGAAGUAUCCUGUUGGACUGAAAAAUUUAUUAUGCCCCACUCCUCCUUUCAAGAUGCCAAGUAGAAUUCAUUUUUUCUAUUUCUUUAACAGAAUACCCAAAGUGAAAUUAGUGAUGUGAAUGGAAGGUGAAUGAGAAGUAGGAAAACUCGAUGCGACUGGGCACCAAAUGGUGUUGGAUGGUAACAAACAAAGGGUGAUUACUUAGCUUCUGAAGUUGGAUACUUUACUUGAUGAUAGCGUGGGCCAAAAUGUCGAGUUGGAGUUUGAAAGGAGUGGCACGUCUUUGACCGUUCAGUUGGUGAUGAGUGACAGACUUCUUACAUCCAUGUUAUAUGCUUUACAGAGAUUUAUCAUGUGUUCUUUGUUUUAGGCUGAAGACUUGCACUCCAUAACUCUAAACUACUUUUCGGAGUUAGUGGUGGAGUUAUACACGCACUCUCGAAUCAACAAGCUCAGAAUUUUUGUUUUCAUUAUAGUCUUGUGCAUAUAUCAGAACCUGGGUAACUUCUUUGAUAAAAUUGUUUUUAUCCCAUUAAUAUAACACUUUGGUUUGACCCUCAAUGCCUAAAUGCAUGGGAAAAUAACAAGGUUGACUAUUAGUACACUUCUAGAAAUAACACAUUCAACCAUUAGAAUUGGUAUGUACUAUCUAUAGUUACAUGCUAAAUAAAGCCAGGGUCCCACGCCAUGCCAUUACUAAGAGCUUAGCCGAUAAAAAUGUUCUAUCCAAGGUCUCUAGAAGAGCUCAGGUUCCAUUCGUAUACAUAAAUGACAAGAAUCUCCAUAGUAGGAAGGUAUACCAAUACUAAUCUUUGUAUAAUAUCCAUUUAAAAAAACUAUUGUUAACAACCCGUUUGCAACUUUCAAGAUAAAGUCAGCUUAUUUACCGCGUUAUAGAGCAACCAAUAUGGAAGUUAUAGAGCUUGAUAUUGAUAUUUCUACAUACUAUAUUAUCAUGUCACAUAAUAGUAUUUUUAUAAUGCUUUGAAAGUUUGAAUUUUGAAUUAGGUGUCCAUAUUAUAUGGUGUUAAUAGGUCUAGACAUGUACCUUUUCAGGCUGGGUUUAAACGGGUCAGGCCCUCGGGCACUUUGGCCAGGUCAAAUUAACUUGGUUUUUUUUUUAAUCUUUUAGGUUUACAAGCUAUUGAUAUAUACAUAUUAUGUGAUGGCAGAAACUAUUAUUUUAAAGUUACAUAAUUUGGUCUCUUUUUACAGAAUGGACUAAAGUAGGGAUGAGCUCGGUACCAAUCGCUAUCGAACCGGUACCGGAAAUCCUCAAAAGUGGGCACCGGUACCGAAUAUACCUGAUAUGAUACGGUUCGAUCCCGGUAUCAAAAAUAUCAAAAAGUCAUUCGGUACUCAAAAAUGUACCCAGUUCGGUAAAUUCGGUACCGGUUCCCGGUACCAUUUGCUCAUCCCUAGACUAAAGUCUUGUGAAUUGUGAAGCCAUGUCUCUUUGUUUCUAUAUAUUUAUUUUAUUACAGCACAACACAUGUGAAAGUAUAAAUGUGUGUAGAAAGUAAUUAUAGAUUGUAUGUGAGUGCACAAUCAUGUCACAUCAAAGUAUUAGUAUAAUGCUUUGAAUAACCUUACAUAUAUAUGGAUUGUUAAUUCCUAUAACUGCAGCCAGGGCAAGGAUGGAGUUGUUAGGUACUGUGAUAUUCAACAUGGGGAGUUGUCAAGGGUCGACCCACGCAGCGAAGUAAGGACUUGAAGAAUGAUCAAACCGAAAAACAAUUUAUGUACACCCGCGGAACAUGAAGGAACGGCUGGAAGCCGCACAUAAAGAAGCCAUACCAGGUGUCCGACUUUAGUGAUAUAUGAAACUAAUGCUCGCCGCCAUCUAAUUCUAGCGGUGACUAUGGCAUGUAGGUGUAGCAAACACUUUGGUUUUACAAACACGGCGGUUGUUGCCAUCUUCAUAUGUGAAUCAUUAUUUUUCUAACAAUCUUCCAAAUCAGCCAAUGACCGUUUGAUUUGUGCAAGUGAGGUUCAUCAGUGGAGUGUCAGAAUGAAGAAAAAAGGGAGUUUUUACUACUUCAGUGAAGGAGUGAAGGAUGGACAUAUGUUUCACAAGAUAUGUUUUUAAUUAGUGGAGUGUCAGAAUGAAGAAAAAAAAUGGAGUUUUUUACUAACUAUAAACAAAUACACCGACUCCAGUUAUUCCGUUAUGCGCCUUUAUAGUUUUGAGAGAUUUGAUGGAACUGUGCAGUUAUUCUUUUAGAUCUU
rnacentral:lncRNA from 1 species